GUAGUCUCGCACAGAUGCAUAUCAAUAAGCGGAGGAAAAGAAACUAACAAGGAUUCCCCUAGUAACGGCGAGUGAAGCGGGAAGAGCUCAAAUUUGAAAUCUUAAAGGGUUUCCCUUUACGAAUUGUAGUUUAAAGAAGUGUUUUCUGUUGAGGUUUUGGUAAAAGUUCUUUGGAAUAGGACAUCAUAGAGGGUGAGAAUCCCGUAUUUGACCUUUACUUUCAACUUUGUGAUACACUUUCAAAGAGUCGGAUUGUUUGGGAAUGCAGUCCAAAAUGGGUGGUAAAUUUCAUCUAAAGCUAAAUAUUGGCGAGAGACCGAUAGCGAACAAGUACCGUGAGGGAAAGAUGAAAAGAACUUUGAAAAGAGAGUUAAACAGUACGUGAAAUUGUCAAAAGGGAAGCGUUUGACACCAGUGUUGUUUUUCUGAAAAUCAAUUAAAGAACUGUUUAUGCUAAGUUGUUUAGACUUUAUCAGCUAUCUGUUUAGUUUUGAGCUUUUCUUUAAUGCACUUUUCAGUUAACAAGUCAACAUCAAUUUCUUUUGCUGUAAAAAAGCUUGAGGAAGGUGGCUUGAGAUUCGUCUUAAGUGUUUAUAGCCUCUUGCCUAUGCAGUCGGAGAGAUUGAGGUCUGCAGCGUAGAUCCUUCGGGGCUAAAUGCAUUUGUGCUAAGUUAUAGCAUUUUAUAGACAACUUGUUGACUAUGAUUUGUCUUGUAGCUUACUCGCUUAUGUUAUUUUACCUACGCUUAGGAUGUUGAAGACUCUACAGAGAUA
rnacentral:rRNA from 1 species